GAUGAAGAACGCAGCGAAAUGCGAUACGUAAUGUGAAUUGCAAAUUCAGUGAAUCAUCGAGUCUUUGAACGCACAUUGCGCCCUCUGGUAUUCCGGGGGGCAUGCCUGUCCGAGCGUCAUUGCUGCCCUCAAGCACGGCUUGUGUGUUGGGCCCCGUCCUCCGAUCCCGGGGGACGGGCCCGAAAGGCAGCGGCGGCACCGCGUCCGGUCCUCGAGCGUAUGGGGCUUUGUCACCCGCUCUGUAGGCCCGGCCGGCGCUUGCCGAUCAACCCAAAUUUUUAUCCAGGUUGACCUCGGAUCAGGUAGGGAUACCCGCUGAACUUAAGCAUAUCAAUAAGCGGAGGA
rnacentral:misc_RNA from 1 species